AUUGUUAAAAAUUCCGGCUUAGACUCGCGCGUGAGAGAAUAGUGCGACUCUUGUUUAUUCUGAAUCAUUGGCUUGGUCGAAGCGCAGAGAAAUGUGUUACGCCUUAAGAAGGAAGAAAAAGUAAACAAAGUAUCACAGCAUUCCAAGUUACUGACGCUUCCUUGCUGCUUGCAUCUGUCGAUGAUUUCAACAGAACACUUCGACGCGUUGUUGUUCGCGAGACCGAAACCACCUUUUUUUUAUUUUAUCGAUAAUUUUUUUAAAAUGAACUAUGCGGAUAAAAUCUGGGCCCGGUGCACCGUUUUUUCAAUUAAGAGGCUGUGAUCAAAGGUGAAAAGUAUGUGGUCAACGAAGAAAAACAGUUGGGACAAGACUUUUUUGUCGGGUGCCGAAACAGCACCCAGGCUCAAAAUUGAAAAAUUUUGUCAUGGAAAUGAAAAAUGGUGAUUUUGAUACACACAACUAAAAAAAAAGGUUAACGAUUUUUUUUCAAGCUGUAAGAGUGCGCACAGCACAUAGAGAAACCAGAGAAUCAUACACAUCCAAAAGGUGCGAAGACACGCCAAAGAGGAGCCAGUACUCUCGGUACCAAAAUUACCGACGAUCUUAUCAAAAGAGACGGCACAACAACGACCGAUAAAACAGAGCCAAAUCAGUGUGAAUCCGCCCUCCGACAUCGACUUUUCAAAUUUUUUCUAAUUCUAUUUUUUUGUGUGGCGUCGUAAAGUAUUGUAAAAUUUGGAAAAACGUUUAUCAGAUUUGUUAAUUGUUAAAUAAUGAAGAAUGAAAAAUUAGGGUAAAGUUAGCCUCGAAACUUUAUUUUAAAAUCUUCAUUAGAUCAGCCUGUCAAUAGUCGCGCUAUGAGAUUUUCUCUCACAUUCCUUUUUAAGGUAUAAGAAGGUGCGGUUAGAGGAGAGCGUGACAUGGGACUGGCUAUGAGAAAAUCUCUCAUCAUGCAACUAAUGAAGUUCGGUGAGGUAGCGCGACUAUCGACGGGUUAAUUGUGUGUAAACCGAUGCGAAAUCGUUUGUAGAAGUUGAAUAUAAUAAAAACGUUUGUAGAAUGUCUAUUGUCAUGAAAAAACCAAAAAGAAAAUUUGCAGAAAUGUUUCCGAAUUAGUAGCAACGCGCACAACAGUGCUGGAAGGAAAAGUAGAAAUGUACAGUCGCCACUUUUGCUAAAAAGCAUGCCAAAUUAUAUUUCGAGCAUUCUUAUCAAGAAAAAAUAAAAUCACACGUAAUUUCAGGGAGUAGGAAAGAAAUAACGAUAAAUUAAAAAAAAUUAUGCCGUUUUUUUUCAUCGGUUUGUUGUUUGUUGUCGACGCUAUCGCGUUUCUUCAUUGGUGUUGUUCAUUGUGUUAACAUUACUUGUCGUACCAAAAAGGCAGGACGGCGUUCCGUAUUGGAGUAUCGUUGUAACACAAAAAAAAAACUUUAAAAAAGAAAAAAUAACGCAAAGUAUUAAAAGUGCAUUCCUUAAGUGGAAAAAUAAUUUUCAAAAUUAAUUCUAAAAGUAAACAAAUGGAGCUUGUAAAGAAGGGAAUGAAGAAUUGAAAAAAUAUUUUAUCGAGAUCGAUUUCGAUUAUUCAUUCAGCAAGUUCAAUCCUUCAAUUUAGGAGUAGAAAUUCCGCAUGCCAUGAAAUAUUUUUCAAUUUUCCAUUCCUUUUUUUAGAAGCUCCAUUUGUUUACUUUUAGAAUUGAUUUUUGAAAUUAUUUUUCGACCCAAAGUACACGCACUUUUAAUACUUGGUGUUAUUUUUACUUUUUCAAAGUUUUUCCACAGAUGUAAUUUUUUAUGGAAAACGAAACAUAGCAGCAUUUCGGUUCGGACGUGAUGAAAAGUGUUUGACAAGGCUCGAACUUUUAAAUUUGGCGUUAUUUUUACUUUUUGCUCCCUCAUAGAGGAAGCUAUGUGAUGAUGAACAUUUUUUUUUUCCAGUUUUCAAUGUCAAUGUGCUUAAAAUGUGUCAAUGUGCGCGCGCGUGUGAAUCCUACGUUUUGAAAUUUCCAUAAAAAAAGUGUCGACGCUCGAACUUCCGAAAAUUUUAACAUUUAUUACUAAUUUUAUUUUUUAUAAAUAGAUUAUCAUAAUAGGAAGGUGGUAUUGAAUUUGGGAAAUAUUAGUUGAGCGGUUCAAAUUUUAUGAUUUUUUGAAUUUUACGAAAAUAUGAGUUUUUUAAAAUAUCGUAUAACCGCUUUAAUUUUUGAAAAUUUUGUAAGUUAUCGUGUAUAAGUCUGUACUUCAUCUAUUCGCUCCGUACAAGCCUUUGGUGGGGAUAAGCGAAAAACCAUAAACUUCCCCUAGAGAAAAAAGGUUGGGACAAGUACAUUGAUGUUGUCUUGUUUGCUGAUAAUUCCAACCAUAAAAAAUACUAUGAAAUCUUUUUUUUUUAAUUAUAAAAAAAAAUAUUUAACUCGUUGAUAAUAGCGAACAACUUCUUGUCUUAAGGAGCUUCGGUACAGCUUAUCUUUGGGGGGGAUCAGGGUGGCAAAUCCAUUGUAUUCUAGCAGGGCGCCAACUUCUACACUCUCACUUUUUGUUAUUAAGAGUAGGCUUUAUUACAAAUAAUAUGUGUGUAAUUAUGUAUCCAUUCAUAUUUUCUGUAAUGAUGAAUGUUAUAGUUUACUUUACAUAUUAUGGAUAUUUUUUAUGUUAUUUCUAAAAAUUAUCGAAAAAUGUGACGCGAACGUGACAAUGAGCAACUUGAAUGAAAAGUGAUGGGCCGGACAAGUACUUUUAACACAAAUUUAAACAUAAUUUGUACCGAUCCAAUCGACGUCGAAUGUUGUGAAUAAUACCAGGGGAUCCUGAACGUCUGAGAAGAAUCGAUUUUCUUAUAAGUCUCUAUCACCAUAAAGUAACAAAUUACUUUAUCUUUGAUGUAACAUUUUUGGAUUUGAACGCUUUUUAGAACAAUUUUAUAAUGUCGAAAUUGCGAAUUACUAAUAAAAUA